CCAUAUUUGGCACAUGGCGUAGGACUCCAGUAGAGAACGUAAUUUAACUCUUUCUGUGACGCUAGGUGAAUGAGAUGUCGACAGAUCGAUUUUGUUUUCUUUCUAUCGGGUUUGUUUUUCUUUACUCAAAGAUUCAAUAAUUGCUAGAUAUUGGUGGGGACAUGUCCCUUCCAUCCAUGCCAAAUCUACGCCCAUGAUCCAUUCAGAGUAUCACAUCAGAGAAAAAGUGACCCGGACCAAACGUGUGCAUAUCCUCUAUUCAAUCCUAUACCAACAGUCGAUGCCACUGCUGCAGAAGCUACCAAUAAUACAUGCAAGGGACUAUCUCGGUCUGCUUUUGCAAAAUGUCAUGCUCUGUGGAAUAAAACCAGCAGGUCAAUCAUGGCCUAUGAGGAACGUGAGUGUAAGAUGAUGUUUUUUCGACCCAAUCAGACUAGUUGGAUGUCACUGUUCCUUGCUGUGGAAAGAAAGAAGAGAAAGGAAUCAGCAAUGUUUGCACAGCAUUAAAGAUAAAGAUGUAAUUUGAUUGAACUUGUUUUUAAUUAUUAAAUUGUGAUUAAUGUGUGAAUCCACCCUUUUUUAAGUGACUUUGACUGAGACUGAAAAUGUGAAUAUUCCUUAUCAAUUACUUAUAAUUUUACUGUCUUAUUUUCCAAUCAUUUGCAAAUCUUACAGACAAUGCACAGUUAUUACAUUCUUGUAGAAAUAGCUAUGACUUAUUUCUGUUUUUACACCUUUUUUAGGUUCAAUCCUUCUGAAAUGGGAUUUGUGGUUGAGUACACUGCUGUGAUGAAGCCCCUUGCCAUGGCCUUUAACAUCCUCCAAGGGCAAUCAUCUGUGCACAUGGGCUUCUAGCUGCACUGUAAACCCAAAUGUUCAAAGUAAUUAAAUAGAUUAAGUAGUGUAUACUCAAAGUCUUUAAAAAGUUCUGUUAACUUAAAUAUGUCAAGUUCGUGUAACAUGUUCUUCUUUUUGAGUAAAUGAAACUAAUAAUUUUUGAUUGAAUUGAACUAUUUCUAUAUUAAGUAAGCAUCACUUAAAAUUAUAACUUAAGCACAACGUAACACAGGACAUAUAAGAAUGGUAAAGUCCUGUUAUUUUUGUUGUUUCAAGUAGGUAGGAUUUAAUAAUAAACUUAAUUUAUGUAGCACAUGCUAAAAUACAAUAAAAUCUCAAAGUGUUUCACCAAAUAAGUAAAAUCAAAUUGUCUUAAAUGCAUUAGUGGAAGAAAAAAUGUAUUUAUUUUAAUAUUCAUUGUCUUAUCAAUGUAUCCUAUAUAUAUAUAUAUUUUUUUUUUCCGUAAGUGUUAAGCAGCUGCAGGAAUCAAUUUUUAUUCCGAGUUAAUCUCUGAUUCACCCUCCGAAGGGGAAGGUGGCGCUAAUGAGCGUUAUACACUGAUCGUUUACCGCUAUUUUGAAAAAAAUACGAAAGACAGAAGAAGUAAAGGUAUAUGGGUGGGAAACAGCACCAAAGAGGCAACACGGACGACUGGAGAAAGGACCUAACGGCAGCAACUAGCAUCACUGGACUUACAUUUAUGCCUUUGGAUCUCUCUGUUCCCGCUUCAAGAAUUAAGACAGAGUCAAGGAAGAGAACUGGGGAUGUGAUAAAGAUACCAGGAAAGGAUCCUUCAAGCCUUGACCAGUUGAGGCAAGCAAUUGUUGAAGAAGUCAAGAAGGCUGAGAAGAACCUGCCCCUCAUUAGAAAGUUGAUGGAGACCACAUUUCCCCUGCGCAGACAAACCAUAGUGAUGUCCUGCCCACCAGUGAAGGAGCUCUUGGACCUCUGGCCUGCUCUAAAAAUGGAGUCUGAGUUGUAUGCAGAGUUUCAGCGGAUUACAAAUCAGAACCUGCCCAAUACAUUCUAUGCUGAACUUGACCGCCAUCUUCCUCGACUGAUGACCUUAUUCAGACAGAAGGCAUCAAAACUGGGAAGACAGCAGAUGCCCUGGCUGAAAUUCUAAGAAUUCACGAUGAACAGGUAAUAAUAGAUUGUUACACAUUUCAUAGGUUGAACCAGUGGAACAUUGGACAGGUUCAAUGAUUUAAAUGAGCUUUUUGAAUUUUGCUAUUAGUCCACUUUGUGUUUGCUAUUUGUCUGACUGUAUUAAAGAUGUGAACAGGUUAUUUGUGGACAUAUGUUCUCAUUUGACUGUUGUUGUUGUUGUUCAGUAAACUCACCAGUAUAUACAAUUCUGUUUUUAUCUGGCAAUAGGAAAUCCAUGAUAUCCACACCAAGCGCACUACCGUUCUCCACGCCCUUCCUGUCUAUCUGCGUGAGGAUGUCUCUGGAUUUUUCAGAACCUGCACUGACGAAUCUGAUGAGUUGGAGCUUGAUGGUGUUGAAGUGGCCCUCUUCACUGUCAUCAGUGACCAUGACACGACAAGUCCAGUUCACUACCAACCUGUGAAAACCUCUGUCGUCAUUGAAAGUGAUGCCAUGGUCAGUCUCCCCAGAUUUGGUGAAGCCUUCCUGGUAAUGUUUGGACUGAUCUAUGCACUUCACCUCAGCUACCCCAAAGCCCUGACCAACACUUUAGAAUUUACUCAAAAGAUUUUACUUGGUCUAGAAAGUGGUAAACUGUCACCCAGGUUACAGACCCUCAAGAAUGACUUGGUUAUGUAGGAACUCAUCUGAAAGAAGGAUGCAGGGUAAAGCGUUAUAAAAGGCUAGUUCAAAGUUCUCUCCUUUUAUCUAAAUAAUGCCUCAAAACGUUAUUGCAUUACUCGACAGGUGUUCAGCCAAUAGGUCCAAACUAUACAACGUGCCUUUGUCCUCAUUAACAUAAUGCAAAGCAACACUAAUGUUUUGUAUGUUUUAAUGUUUUUUGUAAUACUAUUUCUAAAACAUUGUGGGCUGCGCAAGAUGACCUAAAUUUUACUGUUUGAUACUGGUUAAUGUAAAACAAAUAGCAUUGUAAUUCACUCAAAUUGCUGCCCUGUUGCCUUAUUCAGAUAUUAGCCAGAGAGCCAAAGGCACAUUUUGAUAUUAUUUAUUAUUAUUUGGCAUUAUUUUUUAUUACUCUGACAGUUUUCCUGACUAAACAAUUUUUACUUAUUUUAUAUAUUUAUAUUUAUAUAUAUAAU